AAGAAAUAACAAUGAUUCCCCUAGUAGUGGCGAGCGAACGGGGAUUAGCCCAAACCCCGCAUGUUACGGCAUGAGCGGGUUGUAGGACGUUCACAACGGAUUUAAAGACUUAGACGAAUGGUCGUGGGAAGGCCAACCGCAGGGGGUAAGAGUCCCGUAGUUAAAAAGUCGAUAAAUUUAGAACGUAUCCUGAGUACGGCGGAACACGAGGAAUUCCGUCGGAAUCCGGGAGGACCAUCUCCCAAGGCUAAAUACUCCUUGCUAACCGAUAGUGAACCAGUACCGU
rnacentral:rRNA from 1 species